rnacentral:rRNA from 1 species
UACGGAGGGUGCAAGCGUUAAUCGGAAUAACUGGGCGUAAAGGGCAUGCAGGCGGUUAAACAAGUAGGAUGUGAAAGCCCGGGGCUCAACCUCGGAAUUGCAUUCUAAACUGUGUAACUAGAGUAUUGCAGGGGGAGACGGAAUUCCAGGUGUAGCGGUGGAAUGCGUAGAGAUCUGGAAGAACACCAAAGGCGAAGGCAGUCUCCUGGGCAAAUACUGACGCUCAUAUGCGAAAGCGUGGGUAGCAAACAGG